rnacentral:ncRNA from 3 species
GCGGAAAUAGCUUAAUGGUAGAGCAUAGCCU